rnacentral:rRNA from 1 species
AAAAUCCGGGGUUUCAAGGCCGAGAGCUGAUGACGAGUCGUCUUUUAGAUGACGAAGUGGUUGAUGCCAUGCUUCCAAGAAAAGCUUCUAAGCUUCAGGUAACCAGGAACCGUACCCCAAACCGACACAGGUGGUCGGGUAGAGAAUACCAAGGCGCUUGAGAGAACUCGGGUGAAGGAACUAGGCAAAAUGGCACCGUAACUUCGGGAGAAGGUGCGCCGGCUAGGGUGAAGGAUUUACUCCGUAAGCUCUGGCUGGUCGAAGAUACCAGGCCGCUGCGACUGUUUAUUAAAAACACAGCACUCUGCAAACACGAAAGUGGACGUAUAGGGUGUGACGCCUCCCCGGUGCCGGAAGGUUAGUUGAUGGGGUUAGCGCAAGCGAAGCUCUUGAUCGAAGCCCCGGUAAACGGCGGCCGUAACUAUAACGGUCCUAAGGUAGCGAAAUUCCUUGUCGGGUAAGUUCCGACCUGCACGAAUGGCGUAACGAUGGCGGCGCUGUCUCCACCCGAGACUCAGUGAAAUUGAAAUCGCUGUGAAGAUGCAGUGUAUCCGCGGCUAGACGGAAAGACCCCGUGAACCUUUACUGUAGCUUUGCACUGGACUUUGAGCCUGCUUGUGUAGGAUAGGUGGGAGGCUUUGAAGCGUGGACGCCAGUUCGCGUGGAGCCAUCCUUGAAAUACCACCCUGGCAUGCUUGAGGUUCUAACUCUUGUCCGUAAUCCGGAUCGAGGACAGUGUAUGGUGGGCAGUUUGACUGGGGCGGUCUCCUCCUAAAGAGUAACGGAGGAGUACGAAGGUGCGCUCAGACCGGUCGGAAAUCGGUCGCAGAGUAUAAAGGCAAAAGCGCGCUUGACUGCGAGACAGACACGUCGAGCAGGUACGAAAGUAGGUCUUAGUGAUCCGGUGGUUCUGUAUGGAAGGGCCAUCGCUCAACGGAUAAAAGGUACUCCGGGGAUAACAGGCUGAUACCGCCCAAGAGUUCAUAUCGACGGCGGUGUUUGGCACCUCGAUGUCGGCUCAUCACAUCCUGGGGCUGAAGCCGGUCCCAAGGGUAUGGCUGUUCGCCAUUUAAAGUGGUACGCGAGCUGGGUUUAGAACGUCGUGAGACAGUCCGGUCCCUAUCUGCCGUGGACGUUUGAGAUUUGAGAGGGGCUGCUCCUAGUACGAGAGGACCGGAGUGGACGAACCUCUGGUGUUCCGGUUGUCACGCCAGUGGCAUUGCCGGGUAGCUAUGUUCGGAAAAGAUAACCGCUGAAAGCAUCUAAGCGGGAAACUUGCCUCAAGAUGAGAUCUCACUGGGAACUUGAUUCCCCUGAAGGCCCGUCGAAGACUACGACGUUGAUAGGCUGGGUGUGUAAGCGUUGUGAGGCGUUGAGCUAACCAGUACUAAUUGCCCGUGAGGCUUGACC